GGCGGACGGGUGAGUAACGCGUAAAGAACUUGCCCUUUAGACUGGGAUAACAGAGGGAAACUUCUGAUAAUACUGGAUAAGUUAGUAUAUCGCAUGAUAUGCAAAUGAAAGCUACGGCACUAAAGGAGAGCUUUGCGUCCUAUUAGCUAGUUGGUAAGGUAAGAGCUUACCAAGGCGAUGAUAGGUAGCCGGCCUGAGAGGGUGGACGGCCACAAGGGGACUGAGAUACGGCCCUUACUCCUACGGGAGGCAGCAGGU
rnacentral:rRNA from 1 species